GAUGAACGCUGGCGGCGUGCCUAAUACAUGCAAGUCGAGCGAACCACUUCGGUGGUGAGCGGCGAACGGGUGAGUAACACGUAGGUGAUCUGCCCAUCAGACGGGGACAACGAUUGGAAACGAUCGCUAAUACCGGAUAGGACGAAAGUUUAAAGGUGCUUCUGGCACCGCUGAUGGAUGAGCCUGCGGCGCAUUAGCUAGUUGGUAGGGUAAAGGCCUACCAAGGCGACGAUGCGUAGCCGACCUGAGAGGGUGAACGGCCACACUGGGACUGAGACACGGCCCAGACUCCUGCGGGAGGCAGCAGUAGGGAAUCUUCGGCAAUGGGCGAAAGCCUGACCGAGCAACGCCGCGUGAAUGAUGAAGGCCUUCGGGUUGUAAAAUUCUGUUAUAAGGGAAGAACGGCUUUAGUAGGAAAUGGCUAGAGUGUGACGGUACCUUAUGAGAAAGCCACGGCUAACUACGUGCCAGCCGCCGCAGUAA
rnacentral:rRNA from 1 species